GGUUUUAUAGUUUAAUUAAAAUAUUAAAUUGCAAAUUUAAAGAUAAAUAUGAUUUUUUAAAACUU
rnacentral:tRNA from 1 species